rnacentral:rRNA from 1 species
AUUGAGCGCUGGCGGCAUGCCUUACACAUGCAAGUCGAACGGCAGCACGGGUGCUUGCACCUGGUGGCGAGUGGCGAACGGGUGAGUAAUAUAUCGGAACGUACCUUAUUGUGGGGGAUAACGCAGCGAAAGCUGUGCUAAUACCGCAUAAUCUCUAAGGGGGAAAGCGGGGGACCGUAAGGCCUCGCGCAAUUAGAGCGGCCGAUACCUGAUUAGAUAGUUGGUGAGGUAAAGGCGCACCAAGGGAACGAUCAGUAGCUGGUCUGAGAGGACGAUCAGCCACACUGGGACUGAGACACGGCCCAGACUCCUACGGGAGGCAGCAGUGGGGAAUUUUGGACAAUGGGGGCAACCCUGAUCCAGCAAUGCCGCGUGAGUGAAGAAGGCCUUCGGGUUGUAAAGCUCUUUUGUCAGGGAAGAAACAGCAGCUCUAACACAGUUUGCGAAUGACGGUACCUGAAGAAUAAGCACCGGCUAACUACGUGCCAGCCGCCGCGGUAA